AGAAAUGUGGAACCAGAUUACCGGUAUCAACUGUGAGAAACCCAGACUUUCAACAGACCAAGGUGGCCUGUUCAACUCACCGAGCCAUGGACGCAGAUGCCCGUAGAUAAGCUCAUCUUUCACUGUGAUGCUGGCUGGAUGGGGAGAAGCAGUGAAGAGCGUGAAAAUAACAUUAAGUGCCAUCAGCAGAGGUUUGACGUAGUCCGGAUGGAAGAGUCUGACCAGGUGAUAGAAAGGACCGAGGAACCAGCUGCAAGAGUGUGUGUGGCCUAUCAGCCAAGAGUGUGUAGGAGGUUUGCUGAAGCAGGAAAGCCUGUGCAUGUACCAGGCGUGUC